rnacentral:rRNA from 1 species
UACGGAGGGUGCAAGCAUUAAUCGGAUUUACUGGGCGUAAAGGGCGCGUAGGCGGAAAUCCAAGUCAAGUGUGAAAUUCCGGAGCUCAACUCCGGAGCGGCACUUGAAACUGGGUUUCUAUAGAGGGAUGGCGGAGAAAACGGAAUUCCACGUGUAGCGGUGAAAUGCGUAGAUAUGUGGAAGAACACCAGUGGCGAAAGCGGUUUUCUAGCUAUUACCUGACGCUGAGGCGCGAGAGCAUGGGGAGCAAACAGG